CAGUCGCCGCGGUAAUACGAAGGGUGCAAGCGUUAAUCGGAAUUACUGGGCGUAAAGCGUGCGUAGGCGGUGAGUUAAGUCUGCUGUGAAAUCCCCGGGCUCAACCUGGGAACGGCAGUGGAUACUGGCUCGCUAGAGUGUGUCAGAGGAUGGUGGAAUUCCCGGUGUAGCGGUGAAAUGCGUAGAGAUCGGGAGGAACAUCAGUGGCGAAGGCGGCCAUCUGGGACAACACUGACGCUGAGGCACGAAAGCGUGGGGAGCAAACAGGAUUAGAUACCCCCGUAGUCCCUGUCUCUUAUAC
rnacentral:rRNA from 1 species